rnacentral:lncRNA from 10 species
GUUGCUGUCCGGACAGAGCAAAAAAAACAAGGCAUCAGUAUUGUUGAGUAUUAGCUUGUACCUGGUUCGGAGGCUAAGUAAGUAUUUACCUUCCAGUUUGGGGCUGACGGGGCGGGGGCAGCGCGAAACGAAAAUUGCGUCUCUCUUCCUCUCUCUUUCUCCUCACAAAUAUUUGGGGGUCACGGGUUCCAAGGCCUAGUCCGGGAGGUACCCCUGCCCCCUUCGCCAUCCCUGGAACUUGCAGAAGUUGCCCCACGCCCCACACUUCGCUCCCCUUCUCCAGCCCAGCCAGCCCAGAUUGGAUUCCCCCACCCCCGCGCCCCCUCUGCGCCCUGAAGCUGCGUCAGCGCGGUUCUCCCGGCUCCUGGAGCCGGCCCCGGCUUCUUUUUGUCAUACACGGGGCUGGGGCCCAGCCGGGCCUUUCUCAUGGAGAGAGCUAGUGGAGACCGCGCGGCCUGGGUAGUUUUCCCCGCCCGGCCGCCGAGCCCAGGCCCAGGCCCAGGGUGGGGAGGCGGGGGAGCAGGAGGGGUGCCAUUUGGCCUGGUCCCGAACUCCAGAGUUUCAGGCCUGAGUGCGCUGCUCACGGGGCUCUGAGGGAGAUGUGGACAGGGGGAGAUUCAGGGUGGACGGGUCUUCCCGCAGACAGCUCGGAGGUGGCACUCACCACGUCUCUCCUUUCCUCGCUGCACCUUCCAGAUUCCAGGCUCGGCCAUGAGAGACUUCAAAUGGAACUGCAGUUUCUGGCAGCACUUGGCCCUGCCCGCCUGGGCUUAAAGGAUCCUUGAGCUCUGGCAGGGGCAGAGCUGGAAAGAAAUAAGAACCCGAAGAGGAGAGAGGUGCUCAGGCUCCCGGCAGAGGUGAACUGUACUGCCUUCUCCGUCUUUGUCUCACUAGGCUUUUUCUGUCUCUCCCGAGUUCUCACCAUAUCUCUUUUCCUUUCUGUCUCCGUUUUUCUCUUAUGCUCAGAAUCUGUUCUCUUUCUGUUUCAUUUUCUCUUGGUUCUCCCUUGUUUUCUUUCUCCAUUUCUCUCUCUCUCUUUUUUUUUGUUCUCCUCCCCUGGCCUCUCUGCUGGAGCUUCCAAAUCCAGCAUCCGACUCAAAGCUGAGAUGAAUGCUCCUUAUUUUGCAUCGUGCAGAUUUUGGGGUGUGGGGGGAAGACUUGCACCCCCACCACGUGCUUCAUGAUCAUUCAGAACCUCCAUCCAACCACUUUCUUCUCUGCUCCAGACUAGGCACACUGAGCCCAUUCUCCCCCAAACCCCACAAAAUAUGCAAAGUGCCCUGUCUGGUGUGUGUUUCCAGCCCAGGCUUUGCCCACCCAUUGGUGGUGGCUGGGGGCCUGUGUACCCAGCUCUAUCUGAAUCUCAGAUCCACUAGUCCUCAUCUCCCAGAGAGCUUCAAUGCAUAGCCAGGCUCUAACAACCGUGUGGCCAGGCCAGGGAGGUCGUAGGAAGAGGGAAGAAGAUGAGAGCAGCCCUGAGUAGGGAUGAGCGUCAGUCACCUGGGGCUGGAUGUUUGGUUGCAGGAGAUGAGGACUCUGUUUCCAGAAGCCCUGGUCUGAUCUUCCAUCUCUUGUAGGGGAACUCACCAAUCCUGCCCUUGUUGCAGUCCCCUAGAGUUGCGUUGGGGGCCUCAUCCUCAGUACAGCUCAGCCCCAGUUCGAGAACUCCCUGGACCUGGGCUCAGCCAAGCUGCCCAGAACCCGCCCGGCCUUCUCUAGCCCACCACCUUCCCCGGUGCACAGCAUCGGAAAAUGCCAGCAGACCAGCUAUUAGACUCAUCCCGACCUAACAGCGCUAACAGAUGGCGACCAGGCAGCGAAAUCCCCUCCUAUAUGUAACUAAUAAACCGCUUGUGUCUUAACAGGGUAAUGCAUGGAGACGCAAUGUCACUUAUACAAGAUGUUGAUGGAAUUUACUAUAUAAAAAUCUUCCUCCUAGAGUAAAGAGUAUCAACAUUACAACUCGACAGACGGCGGCGGGAUAAGUAAAACAGACAAAAGACAAACAAGAUAAUAAUCUGUUUCCAAUCACUUAAGCCCUGUAGAGUUAGUAAUAUGCGGUUUGCAUAUUCCCCCUUGAGUUCGGUAAUUAAUUACUGGCGAGGAGGCGCACACUAGCCUGGGGUGGGAGUUUUGGGGAGCGCUGAGCUGGGGCGUGGGGCAUACCUCUCUUGAGUUCUCCAGCCCGGGACACCGGGCAGCGGCCGGAAUGAGGGCGCUUCCAGAGGUUUGGAGCUGACCCACCCGCGGGUUGAAGAGGUCGUUUCAGUUGCACCUCCCUAUUCCUCACCGGAAAGCCUCCGGCCUGGGAGAUUCUGCAGCCAAGCAGGAAAGGGGGUCUUCUCUGGCAGCCAGUGUCUCUCCUGGCUCCUCUUAAAGCAUCCUCUCCUUCGAACGGCCGGGAGUGGCAGCUUUAUUGGGAAACGCGCGCUCUGGGGGCCCAGGUGGCUGGGGGGACCGGAGAGGCGCGCGCUUUGCCCACUUCUCUUGGUGGCAUCUUGUGCGACCCAGCCCGUCCUCUCCCGACUUCGAUCAUUACCGCUCCCACCCCAACACGCAUACUUCCCCCACCCCACCCCCAAGAGCCAGCGCGGCUUUAACAUUAAACAAACGCAGCGAGCGCCUCCGAGCUGCGCUCUCGGCCGGGUCUGCGCGGCGGCGGCGGCGUUACAAAUUGUAAAUUUAAAUUGCUCGCCGGAUUCAUUACCUCCCCUCUUUGAUUUCAGCCAGCCGUGAAAAAUUAUACUGGUGUACCACUGAGAAACUGUUUUGCCGCAAAGAGCCUACGCCUAAUCACUGGCUUUCUCCCUCCGACAAAAGUGUAAUUAUUUUGUUUGGGGUGUAAAUAUAGGCCGCGCCUCGCACACACACUCAGCGUCCCGCAGCGCCGCAGAGCACCGCCCGCCGCCGGAAGGAAUCGGGCCCCCGAGUAGGAGCGGGCGUGAAGGCUGAGCCCCGCUGUCUGGAGGCCGGAGGAGAGCGGCUGGUGUGGCGCUCCGGCGAGACCCAGCGAGCCCAGCCUCUGCCCUCCGCAGUUCGGGUUUGCCCGAGAACCUCGGGACCGCGCGCUCCCAGGCGGGCCAGAGAGGACGCCGGCGGGGUGCAAUGGGU